AGUGAACGCUGGCGGUAGGCCUAACACAUGCAAGUCGAACGGCAGCACAGUAAGAGCUUGCUCUUACGGGUGGCGAGUGGCGGACGGGUGAGGAAUACAUCGGAAUCUACUUUUUCGUGGGGGAUAACGUAGGGAAACUUACGCUAAUACCGCAUACGACCUACGGGUGAAAGCAGGGGAUCUUCGGACCUUGCGCGAUUGAAUGAGCCGAUGUCGGAUUAGCUAGUUGGCGGGGGAAAGGCCCACCAAGGCGACGAUCCGUAGCUGGUCUGAGAGGAUGAUCAGCCACACUGGAACUGAGACACGGUCCGGACUCCUACGGGAGGCAGCAGUGUGGAAUAUUGGACAAUGGGCGCAAGCCUGAUCCAGCCAUACCGCGUGGGUGAAGAAGGCCUUCGGGUUGUAAAGCCCUUUUGUUGGGAAAGAAGAGCAGCAGGUUAAUACCCCGCUGUUCUGACGGUACCCAAAGAAUAAGCACCGGCUAACUUCGUG
rnacentral:rRNA from 1 species